rfam:Capsicum annuum cultivar Zunla-1 chromosome 9, whole genome shotgun sequence
UGAUGAUUGUGAGGGCAAUUUUUGAGUAUACUCUUAAAUCUCUCCCAAGCUUGGUAAAUAUUGUCUCUUUCUUUCUGUCUAAAACUUAGAAUCUUACUUCUUAAAUG